GAUGAACGCUGGCGGCGUGCCUAACACAUGCAAGUCGAACGGAGAUUACGGACGGAAGUUUUCGGCUGGAAGACUGUAAUUCUUAGUGGCGGACGGGUGAGUAACGCGUGGGCAACGUGCACUAUACAGGGGGAUAGCAGCUGGAAACGGCUGGUAAGACCGCAUAAGUCGGUUAAAUCGCAUGAUUUGCUGGGGAAGUGGGCAAUCGGGCAUAGGAUGGGGCCGCGUCCGAUUAGCCAGUUGGCAGGGUAAAAGCCUACCAAAGCGACGAUGGGUAGCCGGACGGAGAGGUGGGACGGCCACGAUGGGACUGCGACACAGCCCAAACUCCUACGGAGGGCAGCAGAGGAGUAUAUUACACGAUGGAGGAAACUCUGAUGCAGCCACGCCGCGUAAGUGAAGAAGUAGUUCGGUAUGUAAAGCUCUAUCAGCAGAGGAGAUGAUGACGGUACCUGACUAAGAAGCCCCGGCUAACUACGUG
rnacentral:rRNA from 1 species